UGGUUACAUUCUGUAUGUAUAGUGCGCGACUGGUUGAGAUGGCAACCGGAGUGGGGAAACCCCGCACACCCCCUGCGCUAACCCGCUGCGGGUGUGCGUCCCGCCUCCUCAUACCCCGUUUGCCAUCUAAACCUGUCGCGUACUAUACGUGCAUGUACCAAAGGCUCAUUUCGCAAAGGCUUUUAAAUAAUAGCGACUUGUUAUGAUGCAAUAAAGUGCAAUUCAGCUACCACAGCACUGCAGUCUAAAGUUUAA